CAACACCACCAUGCGGCAUGUCACUGGGGUGAAAUGAGAUCAGGAGCUAACAUCCCUCCGAAGCCCUCUCCACAUGGGCUCUGUCGCCCUGCCCUUGGAUGCCUCAGCACCAGGGAGGACAGUGAGCAGCAGCGUGACGGCUGAAGCUCGAGAGUGUCCUUAUCUGGAGCCCACCCUGCUCCACCAUCCAUUGGGUCCUGGCAGUCACUUCCUCCUCUCUGCUCCUGGGGAAUGGCGUGCACAUCAGGGAAGAAUGCCAUGGAAGAAGGAAAGGAGAGAAUAAUCACUGGACCAAGCCAGAUGACCAGGGCAGAAAGAAAAUGUAUUCCCGUCUUCCCAGACUGCAAGAGAUGGAGAAUGCUUGGGAACUCCGACCUAGAACGGAUUCUACAUUGGCCUCAUUAACAGCUACUUGGAAAAUAAAUCUUGAUCCAGGAGUUUGGCAAAACCGUGUGCUUCACAUCGUAGGACAAGUGGCAGCGCCACUGGUGAUACCCGAGAAACCCCCGUAAGGGGACUGGACCGCAUCCCAGCCAGAGCUUCUGAAACGUCCGUCCGUCCUCCCCAUGUCUGUGACUGUGUCCUAGGGCAGUGCCAGGUCAGCCCCGGGGCUGUCUAGCUACGCUGUCUAGCUUCAGAUUCUCAGAUCUGAAGGGGGCAACUGAAGUUUUCCACUGCAGUAACCCCUCUGUUUCCAGGGAAGCAGACAUUCCUUCUUGGCUCCCCCGCGCUGGUGUUCGGCGAAGCCAGCCUGGGGAUGGGCACCUGUGCAGGUAGCCGUGUGGGCCGGACCAAGGCCACCGUGGGAGCCUCGGGACCCAGAAGCCCACGGGAGGGCGGCAUCCCGGGAGGGGAGCAGAGUCCUCAGCCAGGCCGGGGGCGACGCCGGUGCAGUCGGCAGCAGGCGGGGGUCUGGAGUCUGGGAGGCCUGGCUCCCGCUUGGCAGCGCGGACGGACCAAUCCUCGAACACCUCUCACCAAGUUAAAAAUGGAACCAGUCACGAUCGCCCAUGGGCGUUUGUCGUUUGUUGCUCUCCUGUAAUUAAACGUGCUACUCAAGCUCUGAAUAGUAGCAGGCACAUGUUUACAUUCUGGGCUUUCCUCCAGCCAGUGCCCCCCAGACUGCCCUUCCAUGUGUCACCCCUCCAAGUUCCCUUUCCAACGUGUCUCAUUUUGCUGUGGGGGUGUAUCCUCCCCACCUCCUCCACGCCCUGGACAGCGUGUCCCCUCACCUCUCCCAGAGCUGACGGCCACGGUGGGAGUCUCAGCCCGGCUCCGGCCCGCAGGGAGGCACUUGUGGGCAGGGAGCCUCUGGCCGCCUUGCUCUGCUGCCCGGCCCUGUACCCGUAAGGAGAGUGAGGUCUCCUGCAGACCACUGGGAGCGAGUUGACUGGGGAAACGUGUGCUAUUGUAUACAGAGGGAAGUGUAGAAAUGCAAGUUUAGAUUUCAAACACCAAGUGUCAGUAAUCAGCAAUGA